AGUUUGAUCAUGGCUCAGAUUGAACGCUGGCAGGAUGUACUUUACACAUGCAAGUCGAACGGCAGCACGGACUUCGGUCUGGUGGCGAGUGGCGAACGGGUGAGUAAUGUAUCGGAACGUGCCCUAGUAGCGGGGGAUAACUACGCGAAGGCGUAGCUAAUACCAUACCUUCGAGGGGAAAGCGGGGGGACCUUCGGGCCUCGCACUAUUAAACGGCCGAUAUCGGAUUAGCUAGUUGGUGGGGUAACGGCUCGCAAGGCGACGAUCCGUAGCUGGUUGAGAGGACGACCAGCCACACUGGGACUGGGAGACACGGCCCAGACUCCUACGGGAGGCAGCAGUGGGGAAUUUUGGACAAUGGGGGAAACCUGAUCCAGCCAUCCCGCGUGUGCGAUGAAGGCCUUCGGGUUGUAAGCGCUUUUGGCAGGAAAGAAACGGCACGGGAUAAUACCCCCGUGCAACUGACAGUACCUGCAGAAUAAGCACCGGCUAACUACGUGCCAACAGUAGCCGCGGUAAUACGUAGGGUACAAGCGUUAAUCGGAAUUACUGGGCGUAAAGUGUGCGCAGGCGGUUCGGAAAAGAUGUGAAUCCCAGAGCUUAACUUUGGAACUGCAUUUUUAACUACCGAGCUAGAGUGUGUCAGAGGGAGGUGGAAUUCCGCGUGUAGCAGUGAAAUGCGUAGAUAUGCGGAGGAACACCGAUGGCGAAGGCAGCCUCACAGGAUAGCACUGACGCUCAUGCACGAAAGCGUGGGGAGCAAACAGGAUUAGAUACCCUGGUAAGUCACGCCCUAGGCGAUGUCAACUAGCUGUUGGGGCCUUCCGGGCCUUGGUAGCGCAGCUAACGCGUGAAGUUGACCGCCUGGGAAGAUACGGUCGCAAGAUUAAAACUCAAAGGAAUUGACAGGGACCCACUGGCGGUGGAUGAUGUGGAUUAAUUCGAUGCAACGCGAAAAACCUUACCUACCCUUGACAUGUCUGGAAUCCCGAAGAGAUUUGGGAGUGCUCGCAAGAGAACCGGAACACAGGUGCUGCAUGGCUGUCGUCAGCUCGUGUCGUGAGAUGUUGGGUUAAGUCCCGCAACGAGCGCAACCCUUGUCAUUAGUUGCUACGAAAGGGCACUCUAAUGAGACUGCCGGUGACAAACCGGAGGAAGGUGGGGAUGACGUCAGAUCCUCAUGGCCCUUAUGGGUAGGGCUUCACACGUCAUGCAAUGGUCGGGACAGAGGGUCGCCAACCCGCGAGGAGCCAAUCCCGAAACCGUCGUAGUCCGGAUCGCAGUCUGCAACUCGACUGCGUGAAGUCCGGAAUCGCUAAUCGCGGAUCAGCAUGUCAUGAUGAAUACGUUCCCGGGUCUUGUACACACCGCCCGUCACACCAUGGGAGUGGGUUUACCAGAAGUAGUUAGCCUAACCGUAAGGAGGGCGAUUACCACGGUAGGAUUCAUGACUGGGGUGAAGUCGUAACAAGGUAG
rnacentral:rRNA from 1 species